rnacentral:rRNA from 1 species
UACGUAGGGUGCGAGCGUUGUCCGGAAUUAUUGGGCGUAAAGAGCUUGUAGGCGGUCUGUCGCGUCUGCUGUGAAAAUCCGGGGCUCAACCCUGGACUUGCAGUGGGUACGGGCAGACUAGAGUGUGGUAGGGGAGACUGGAAUUCCUGGUGUAGCGGUGAAAUGCGCAGAUAUCAGGAGGAACACCGAUGGCGAAGGCAGGUCUCUGGGCCACUACUGACGCUGAGAAGCGAAAGCAUGGGGAGCGAACAGG